rnacentral:rRNA from 1 species
UACGUAGGGGGCUAGCGUUGUCCGGAAUCAUUGGGCGUAAAGCGCGUGUAGGCGGUCCGUUAAGUCCGCUGUUAAAGUCGGGGGCUCAACCCUCGGAUGCCGGUGGAUACUGUCGGGCUUGAGUACGGAAGAGGCGAGUGGAAUUCCUGGUGUAGCGGUGAAAUGCGCAGAUAUCAGGAGGAACACCAAUUGCGAAGGCAGCUCGCUGGGACGUUACUGACGCUGAGACGCGAAAGCGUGGGGAGCAAACAGG